GACGAAGAGGACGAAGGGAUUCUACAAAA
rnacentral:sRNA from 1 species